ACUGACCGCUUUCUUUCUUCCUAACACAUGCAAGUCGAACGGCAGCACAGUAAGAGCUUGCUCUUACGGGUGGCGAGUGGCGGACGGGUGAGGAAUACAUCGGAAUCUACUUUUUCGUGGGGGAUAACGUAGGGAAACUUACGCUAAUACCGCAUACGACCUACGGGUGAAAGCAGGGGAUCUUCGGACCUUGCGCGAUUGAAUGAGCCGAUGUCGGAUUAGCUAGUUGGCGGGGUAAAGGCCCACCAAGGCGACGAUCCGUAGCUGGUCUGAGAGGAUGAUCAGCCACACUGGAACUGAGACACGGUCCAGACUCCUACGGGAGGCAGCAGUGGGGAAUAUUGGACAAUGGGCGCAAGCCUGAUCCAGCCAUACCGCGUGGGUGAAGAAGGCCUUCGGGUUGUAAAGCCCUUUUGUUGGGAAAGAAAAGCAGCAGGUUAAUACCCCGCUGUUCUGACGGUACCCAAAGAAUAAGCACCGGCUAACUUCGUG
rnacentral:rRNA from 1 species